AUCCAGACUCCUACGGGAGGCAGCAGUGGGGAAUAUUGCACAAUGGGGGAAACCCUGAUGCAGCGACGCCGCGUGAGUGAAGAAGUAUUUCGGUAUGUAAAGCUCUAUCAGCAGGGAAGAAAAUGACGGUACCUGAUUAAGAAGCCCCGGCUAACUACGUGCCAGCAGCCGCGGUAAUACGUAGGGGGCAAGCGUUAUCCGGAUUUACUGGGUGUAAAGGGAGCGUAGACGGUGAUGCAAGUCAGAAGUGAAAGCCCGGGGCUCAACUCCGGGACUGCUUUUGAAACUGUGUGACUGGAGUGCAGGAGAGGUAAGCGGAAUUCCUGGUGUAGCGGUGAAAUGCGUAGAUAUUAGGAGGAACACCGGUGGCGAAGGCGGCCUGCUGGACUGUGACUGACGUUGAGGCCCGAAGGCGUGGGGAGCAAACAGGAUUAGAUCCCCUAGUA
rnacentral:rRNA from 1 species